UUCUUCUUCUUCUCUCACUGUCCUCUGCUUCAGUGGAAUCUUGUGUGGUUUUGCAACCCUAAAGCGGUGGAAAGACUUGGAUUUGGUCUGUAUUUGUUCUUGAAAGGUCUUCUUGAAUUGGUCCCUGACCCCAUUUGCCUGUUCCUCCUCUCUCGAAUUACAAGAUCUCUUCGUGAUCCGUUCUUCUUGUUGUAGGUUUUUCUUUCGAUUUUUUGUUCUUGAUUUCUUUCUGAUUUUACCAUUGAAUCUUGCGUGGAUCUCUGUUGUUGGGGUGGGCGCAAGAGCUUCUAGGGAGAACGGUUGUUGGUGCUUCAUCUUUCCUCUGUAUGUCAGAGUCUGGUGAAGGUCCCUACAGUGAGAAAUCGUUGUGAUCUUGCGCCAUUUGGAGUCAUUGGUUAGGAGAGGUAGUUCAGAUCUCAAAAGAAAGACGAAGUCUUUCUUCUGAAAUUUUGAGAUCUCACUGUUUCCGAGUUAGAAUGUCGGUAGUGGAAGAUGUGUCUGCAUCUCCCAAGUGUUUUCUGGACACUUUUGCGAUUGAUACUGGUAUACAUGUGAUCAACUGCUGAUACUUUGUUAGUCGGUGUUGUUCUAGAUUUAUAGUGUUAUAUCUAUUUUUUAAUCACUACUAGUACUGAAUGACAGAAUUCCACAGAAAGCAAUAGUUAUUUCCUCUUAAUGGGGUUAUCCCUAACCGAAUUACUGUACUAAAUGAUUCUGGGCAAACAUAAAACAUUAGGCCUAGAUGUGAGACAGAGACCUGUGUGACUUGGAUUCGGGCAUUUCAUCUGAUUUCCUUUCUAAUGAUGCUUUCAAUUUACAAAGGUGCACAUGCAGAAUCUGUCAUUAAAAUACUAUAUUAAGCAGUGUGACUGGCAAAGAUCUAGGGGGAAAAUAUUAAUUUUUUUUUCUUCCAAACUUCCUGCGUAUCUGCUUACAAAUGAUGGAAGUCACUAUCAUCUUCCAUAGGCAUCAUGCGAAAGAGUAUAAUCAACACUACCUCACUGCAGACUCAAUGAUGGCUGAACCCAAUAUCCAUGUGGAAUAGAGCGAGAAGGGGUACCCUCUCUUAAGCUUUUAAAAGAUUGUAAGGAAUUUGUAGAGAACCUGUGUCUAUGCUAAAAAACCAGAGACACUCUUAUAAGAAUUUGCAUAGACUUAAGUCUCGCCGUCCCUUUUCAUUUGUACCAAAAAGUAGAAAAGAACUACCUGUACUUUUCUUUGUUCAUUUUGCUGUCACAUUUGUGAAUUUCUCAUGUGCAAUUAGUUCACUUUUAGUGGCAACUGAUUUUUUAAGUGAUAUUUUUGGCUGUUUACAACUUAGAAUUUACCUGGGCUCGAACAGCCUAUACUGAUUGUGAGAUAUAAUCUAGUUAUUUCACAUGUAUGCCACAUUACUUCCAUGCAAUGCAGUGGAUGUAGUCUUGAUUUUGUAGCAUCUGAUUCUUAACAGAUUUUCUUCAUUCAGAUUGAUAAGCUGAAAAUGUCAGGAAAAACCCUCGGAGAUCUCAAUGUACAUCCAGCAACUGGAUUCGAUAAGAAUACUGCAUUGGGCAAAGGAAGUUUAACCAAGUCGUACAUUGAAAAUAUCAAUGACAAUGGUCCUGAAUUGCAGAAAAAAAGUUCUUCCCCUUUCUCUGCUCCUAUAAAUAUUGGUGAUGCAGGAAGCAACGGACUAGAGACAGGAAAUACAGAAGUUGAGUACAUCGAGUCUGAAAAUCUGGCAGAUCUACCAGAUGUGGAUGCAAGUUUUAAUACACUGUUAGCUAGGUUGGACUCAAAAGACUGGGUUUCUGUAUGCGAAGCACUCAAUAAUGUGCGCCAAUUGUCAAUAUAUUACAAGGAAAGGCUGCUUGAAAUCAUACGAGCUGUGAUACCACUUAUUGUGAAGUCACUGAGAAGUCCCAGGAGUGCUGUCUGCAAAACUGCAAUCAUGGCAUCUGCUGACAUAUUCAAGGCUUACAAUGAUAUGGUUAUUGACUCAUUUGAUCCCCUGGUAUGUUCCGUUACUAGUCUUCUCCGUUAUUUUAUCUUCUGCUGAUUCCAUGUAUUAAAUACUCUAAAACAUCUCUACAUCAUUCUUCAGCUUGUCCAGUUGCUACUGAAAUCCUCUCAAGACAAGCGCUUUGUAUGUGAAGCUGCUGAGGCAGCUCUAAUAGCAAUGACAACUUGGAUCUCUCCAAUGCUAUUGUUGCCAAAGUUGCUGCCUCAUCUUACAAACAGAAAUCCUCGAAUACGAGCAAAAGCAUCUAUGUGUUUUAGCAGGAGUGUACCUCGACUUGGCAUGGAGGGAAUUAGAGCAUAUGGAAUUGAUAAGCUUAUCCAAAUCGCAGCAUCUCAACUCAGCGACCAACUUCCUGAAUCAAGGGAGGCUGCUCGGGCACUUGCCAUGCAACUGCAAACCAUAUAUGUUAAUUCUCAUGUCUCUCCAAAUGAAGAUUCUCUUGAGUUGGUGGAUGCUGAUUCCUGGGAGGCUUUUUGCCACGCGAAGCUGACACCUUUGAGUGCUCAGGCUAUUCUUCGAGUCACGUCUACUCCAAAAGAGGCUCUGGUAUUGAGUUUUUGCUAGCUCAUGAGGGCUAUGGCACUCUACACCUACCUUGGUGAUUCCACUGUUUGUUAUGCAUUUGAUAUUUUUGUACAUGCUGUGACCAUAGAAAAAAUAUCGACGAGGCAUUUGUAAAAUUGAUCCUAUAAUUCACAUUUGAGGUAAUUUCUUGUAUAGGUUUCAGUGAUUUCUUUGUGUUUCAUUUCUGAGUGCUGAUGUGGAGUGUGCUAAUCUUCGCCUGUGGCACCUAUCCAUUGAAAACUAAUGUAAGCCCAACCCUUUUUUAUUAGACCAAGAAAGAUGACCCGCCGAUCGUGCAUCGCAGUUUCAUUUUUCAUGUUUUGGGAGAAAUAUGCAGAAUUUGUUGCAGUAAUCCCCCUAUAUCAGUGAAAAUUGUUUUUUUAUGAUGUUGGUAUUGAUGAUGAUGCUUGGGAAAUGUAUGAAUUAAAGAACUAGGAACAGCUUUAAUAGAGUAUUAUCACUGUAGUGCCAAAUUAUGGACACAGAUCAAAGAUCAUGGUGUCACUCCACAGUGAUGCCUUUAUGUUCAAGCAUUCUAACAUGCCAAUUUCAAUUUUUGGAUGAAGCAAGUUUUAGUCAUGUGGUGCAAAACAGUACUUUUUGGCAUUCCAGGUGUUUUGUUGUGUGAAAAGAAGUGGUUUAACUGGUGUUCAGCCAAGCUAUGAACUCUGCUUACAGGAAUGGCUUGGAUGAUGAGGCAAUGCAACUGGAGAGAUUUCAGUUCUCAACUUAUCUGCCUAGAGAAAUCAUGAUUCAACUUCAAGUAAUUUUCAUUUCUCAAGUCAAAUAUUAUUUACAAGUUGUCUGCUAUUCAGAGGGAACAAUAGAUCUAAUAUAUGUGGGGAGGAUCAAAACUUCACAUAAUGAUCCCAAGACACUAAAUUGGCAAGAGACUUGAACAUCUUUCUACAUUUCUUAGCAUGAUGUGAAAAAGCAUCUAUUUCUUUCUUACAUCAGGGAUGAAAGGUAACACUCAAAGGUGCUUCUGACCACUCCAUCAUAAAUGCUCAUCCAUCAUGACAAUUCCUACCUUAGCUGCUUUGAUUUCCUCAUAUGAUAAAUUUGGUAGUGACAACAAGGUAGUGUAAUCAACAUACAUGUUCUUAUCCCAGCAGACCUGAUUGAAUGAUGGAUGCAUAGCACAUGAAGUCCAGUCCAUUGCUCUGGUACAAUAGCUAAAAGUCACAGUUUUAAUUAUGCUGUUUAAGAAAGCUUUGUUGCUCUGAUAUGUUGUUUUCUGGACUAAAUAGUAUCAUGUCAUGUUUCUUCUCAGGCAACAAAAUCCAGUCCAGAGGGGAUAACUCUACCGAGAAGAAUGAAAGAGAAUAGAAGAUGAUGUAACACACCAUGGGAUGCACAACCAUCAAGGAUUGGCAGUAGAAUUUAUUGAAGAGGACAAGUACC